CUCAUGCUACGCCAUGGGCACAAAGUGUCAUCAUCUGUGAUGUUCCUAAGUGAAGGAAGCCAGACACAGAAGGUCAUAUGCUGGAUGACUCCGCUUGUACACGGUGGCAGAGCAAUCACAUUCUCAGAGUCAGGAAGUACAGUGGUGGUUGCCAGGGGACACGGGGAAGGAAACGGGGAGGUAGCGUCUCGUGAGGACUGACGGACAGUUUGGGAAGAUGAGAACGCUCUGGAGAUGGAUGGUGGUGAUGGUUGCCCACAGUUAAGGAAAUGGAAGAGGGGGGCGGCCACGAUGCGUCGAAGAGGGAAGUGUUGAGUCUCCAAGUCCUCCCUGGGAUGCACGGAAACGGCGCCUAACCGUGUGAGAAUGUGGCUAUAAGAUGCUCCGCACAGAAAUACUUUCUUGGCACGAGAAGCACAUGCAGUAAACAGCCAGCCACGGGGACCUCUCCCAGUUUCCACUGUUCUAGUAAAUACUGUGAGCACACAUUCCAAGCUGAAA